rnacentral:tRNA from 1 species
AUACUUCUAGUAUAAAUUAGUAUAUUCGCCUUCCAAGCGAAAAGUCAAGCUUAAGUCUUGGAAGUAUA